UUGGUGUUUACGAUGAACAUCGGCAUGAUGGU
rnacentral:piRNA from 2 species